GAAUAAACCAUAAUUCAGCUUGUUCAUCAUAUAGAUAGUGAUACAAUUGUUUAAGUAAUUCAUCUCAUGCUGAACAGGCUAUAUAUCAAUGUACCACAUUUCAUAAAUGUAGUAAUGAUAUCACAUAAAAUUUGUCUGAAGUAAAAUUCUUAAAAUCAUACUUAGAUUAUAUUUGUAUGAGUAAUACCAGUGCAGGUAUAAAAUUAACAAGUUCCUCAUUUUCUUUAAAUGCAUUUUAGUCAUAUUUUUUAUUGCUUUUAUACUUGCAUUAAUUUUAGUCAGUAGCAAUAGAGAAUCUGACUUAAACAUAAAAAUUUCAAUGUACAUACACAACCAAAGUCUUCUCAUUAUAUGUUUGUUCACAUCUGAGCACACUCACCAAGCAUUGUCAUGUGCAUUUGUUACUAAAAUAAAAAUGUGAUACUUAU
rnacentral:misc_RNA from 1 species